UAAAUCAGUGAUAAUCUAUUUGAUUUUCUCUCCCAUUGGAUAACCGUGGGAAAUCUAGAGCUAAUACGUGCGGUAUCUUGGCGUGCUUUCGGGUACGUCAAAGCAUUUAUUAGACUAAACCAUCUACUUUGCUUGCACUGUAAGGGGAAUCUAGAUAACUUUGCUGAUCGUAUGGCCUAGUGCCGGCGACGUUUCAAUUGAGUUUCUGCCCUAUCAACUUGUUGGUAAGGUAUUGGCUUACCAAGGUUGCAACGGGUAACGGGGAAUCAGGGUUCGAUUCCGGAGAGGGAGCCUGAGAAACGGCUACCACAUCCAAGGAAGGCAACAGGCGCGAAAAUUACCCAAUCUAGACAGUAGGAGGUGGUGAAGAGAAUUACUAAAUUGUGGUCCUAUGGAUCACUUGUUUGGAAUGAACGUAACUUAAGAAAUUCGAUGAGAAACAACUGGAGGGCAAGUCCUGGUGCCAGCAGCCGCGGUAAUUCCAGCUCCAGUAGUUUGCUUUAAAGUUGUUGCGUUUAAAACGCUCGUAGUUGGAUCAAGCAGCGGUAUUUAGUAAUCUAUUGGUUGGCGUCUUCUUUUGCGUCCGUCUCGUACGGCCAUUCGAUGGCGUCACCAUUAGAUAUCAAUGCUAGGUAUUGCUAGUUGCACGUGAGAUAGAUUGUUGGCCUUGAAUGAGCCGAUAUUCUCGUCUUGCGGGGUGUGCCUUGAAUAAAACAGUGUGCUUAAAGCAGGUUAUCGCCUGAAUGUUAUAGCAUGGAACGAACAAUCGUGUAUAUGUACGUAUGCUUUUAUGGUGACAAACCUUUGGUCGGUCGUUAUUAGGCGUACGUAUGGCACCCACCAAAAUAUGGCUGUUGGUUCCAUAUACGGUGAUGAUUAACAGGAGCGGUUGGGGGUAUGGGUAUUUGGCCGCGAGAGGUGAAAUUCUUAAACCGUCCAAGGACUAACAAAUGCAAAGGCAAUUACCUAGACCGUUUCCAUUAAUCAAGAACGAAAGUGGGAGGUUCGAAGACGAUCAGAUACCGUCGUAGUUCCCACCGUAAACUAUGCCGACCUGGGAUCAGUUUACAGAUGUUACAAGCUGUAGAUUGGUCCCCCUGGGAAACCUUAAGUUUUUCGGUUACGGGGAGAGUAUGGUCGCAAGGCUGAAACUUAAAGGAAUUGACGGAAGGGCACCACCAGGGGUGGAGCCUGCGGCUUAAUUUGACUCAACACGGGGAAACUUACCUGGUCCGGACAUCGAUAGGAUUAACAGAUCAAUAGCUCUUUUAUGAUCCGAUGAGUGGUGGUGCAUGGCCGUUCUUAGUUCGUGGAGUGAUCUGUCAGCCUAAUUGCGGUAACGAACGAGACCACAGUCUCCAUUUAAGAGAUAGAAGAAGACGUGUAAACGUAUGAACCUCACGGUUUUGCGGUUANGCGUUGCAGGAAGGAUGUUGUGUCUCAUUGAUGAGUAUGAUGGGGCAACUUAUUGUGCUUGUUGUGGGGUGUGGCAUUUCUCCCUUCGAUCAAGCAGCAGUGAGUUUCGGCUCGCUGUUGUCUUAUGGAGAGACAACAAGGUAUAAACAAGCUUGCGGAAGAGUGGCUAUAACAGGUCAGUGAUGCCCUUCGAUGUUCAGGGCUGC
rnacentral:rRNA from 1 species